UUUUUUUUCCUUUUCCCCUGCCUAUCCGGCCUUAUAUCCGGCCAUAAACUGGCCGGAUUCUAGGCCGGAUUCCAGGCAGUGGUUUUCCAAAAUUUCCUGCUUUCAUUUUUAAAACCGGCGAUUGUACACAUACACCAAAUAACGAAUCCAAGACUUGGUGAACCAUACAUACAUGUCAUCUAUACAUAAGAAAGUGUCCUUAUACAAUUCAAACACAAACACUUGAGUUCAAAUACAUCGAAGUUUCAAAUGUUCGAGGAGCUUUCAAAACUAACUAUGUCACUAGCUCAACUCAUCUCAAACUGUGGUUCAACAUCGCUCCUGUAAGGAAAACAAAACAACGGGGGUGAGCUUACGCUCGUGAGGUACCAAAUGCACAAUUUCAUGCUACAACUAUUAACACAUAUACAUAAACACCUUCAUACAACAUACACAUAUAAAAGGAUACAUGCGACCCUCAAGGGCCGAUUUCCGAUUGCCAUACUUGAUCUCACACGUUGACACUCCGUCAACCAUUUAAACAAACCAAGAUCCGUAGACACCACUUCGCACCAUUUCCUUCCACCAUUCACCCCC
rnacentral:lncRNA from 1 species